rnacentral:misc_RNA from 1 species
AACGCACGAGACCUGCGGACCUGCGGAAGGAUCAUUAAUGAGAAACUGCCCCUCGCGGGUAGAUCUCCCACCCUUUGUAAACUUACCUUUGUUGCUUUGGCAGGCCCGUCUCCGGACCGCCGGCUUCGGCUGGCCAGUGCCUGCCAGAGGAUUCUAAAACUCUGUCUGUCAGUGUUGUCUGAGUCUAUAUACAAUCGUUAAAACUUUCAACAAUGGAUCUCUAGAUCGGAAGAGCACACA